rnacentral:pre_miRNA from 1 species
UUAGCACAUAUUUGUAUGGAAUGGGAUCGUUUGCGUACGUUUGCCGCUAGGGGCGCUGUUCCAACUGCAUACAAAAUUGGCUUA